ACCAAUUCUGUAGGAGAAUAAUUGUUCCUUAUGGCUAAAUGGCUUGGAUGCUAAAAAAAUUGUGGUUUAUCCUGAUCAUUGACUUGUGUCUGUGUCUGUUGAUCCUGGAAAGGCUUCAUACAUUU
rfam:Beta vulgaris subsp. vulgaris chromosome 3, whole genome shotgun sequence.